GAGUUUGAUCGUGGCUCAGAUUGAACGCUGGCGGCAUGCCUUACACAUGCAAGUCGAACGGCAGCACGGGAGCUUGCUCCUGGUGGCGAGUGGCGAACGGGUGAGUAAUGCAUCGGAACGUAUCCUGGAGUGGGGGAUAACGUAGCGAAAGUUACGCUAAUACCGCAUAUUCUGUGAGCAGGAAAGCGGGGGACCUUCGGGCCUCGCGCUCUUGGAGCGGCCGAUGUCGGAUUAGCUAGUUGGUGAGGUAAAGGCUCACCAAGGCGACGAUCCGUAGCAGGUCUGAGAGGAUGAUCUGCCACACUGGAACUGAGACACGGUCCAGACUCCUACGGGAGGCAGCAGUGGGGAAUUUUGGACAAUGGGGCAACCCUGAUCCAGCCAUGCCGCGUGAGUGAAGAAGGCC
rnacentral:rRNA from 1 species